GAGUGAAUGGUAUGAGAAAAGCACUUUUGGUUGUGUUUCUUGCCGAGUACUUUCCAUUGAGAAUCUCAUUGCUUUGGAACUUCAUGGUUGAGAUAAAUUCUGAAAUAAAAAACUUUGAUGAAACAGUUUAUAUAAAUGUUAUUUAUCAAAGAAAAAGCAAUAUGCUAUGAAGCCAAAUGAAGAGCAAAGAAAGGAAAGCACAUAAAAGCUUAUGAUUGAAGGACAAGAAGAAAAAUCAGCACUGACAAAUCAGUUUUGUCUCCUUUAUUCCUGUUUGUUAUGUUGUUCCAUUUUACUAUAUUCUUGAACAAUUAUUAUCUAAUUCUCAUGAACAUGUAUUGUCACAUACAUACACAACUGUAAAAAUCAAUGAUUGUGUAACACCAAUGAAAUAUAACAAAAUAGUACUAUUGUCUUUGGUAUCUUAUGCUACAUAUAUUAUUUAUACAAUGAUUAA